rfam:Cicer arietinum chromosome Ca1, whole genome shotgun sequence.
GUGCUGGAUGAUGAUAUUAACCAUUAAACAGUUAUCCCUGGCUGAUAUAGCAGAUGCUGAUAAUGUUUAAUCUGACAUGCAC